ensembl:lncRNA
CAUAUAUUCGGAAGUAGGGAUAACGUGUACGCUGUUUAUAAGCAGAGUUCAUCACCGCCAGUGGAACAGUUAUCCUUUGCUGUGAGGACACACCUGGAGAAGAAAUCAUAAUGGCUGGAAGAGACAUGCAUGGACUACUCUCCAUCCACGCCAGAAGACACGGUGGAAUGCACUGAUUGCUGACAGUGUAGUUCAGUAACAUUGCUGAGUGGAGGUACUGUCACAUACAGCUGUGUCUGGCUCCUGCUCAUACACAGGACUGAGGCCAAACAGCAGGCAGAAGGUGGAACAAGAUUUCCAGAAUGUAAAGCCUUGAGAACACAGUGACAGAUACCAG